GUCUACGGCUAUGUCACCCUGAACAUUCUUGAUCUCAUCUGAUCUCGGAAGCUAAGCAGGAUCGGGCCUGGUUAGUACUUGGAUGGGAGACCACCUAGGAAUACCAGGUGCUGUAGGCA
rnacentral:rRNA from 1 species